UACGGAUGGUGCAGGCGUUGUUCGGAAUCAUUGGGCGUAAAGCGCGUGGAGGCGGCUUGGCAAGUCGGGUGUGAAAUCACGGGGCCCAACCCAGGAACUGCAUUCGAAACUGACUCGCUAGAGUCCCGGAGAGGAAGGCGGAAGUCCCGGUGUAGAGGUGAAAUUCGUAGAUAUCGGGAGGAACACCAGCUGCGAAGGCGGCCUUCUGGACGGUGACUGACGCUCAGACGCGAAAGCUUGUGGAGCAAACAGG
rnacentral:rRNA from 1 species